GUGCUUCAGCGGCACACAUACUAAAAUUGGAACGGUACAGAGAAGAUUGGCAUGGCCCCUGUACAAGGAUGACACACAAAUUUGUGAAGCGUUCCAUGUUUUU